GAUGAAGAAUGCAGCGAAAUGCGAUAAGUAAUGUGAAUUGCAGAAUUCAGUGAAUCAUCGAAUCUUUGAACGCACAUUGCGCCCGCCAGUAUUCUGGCGGGCAUGCCUGUUCGAGCGUCAUUACAACCCUCAGGCCCCCGGGCCUGGCGUUGGGGAUCGGCGGAGCCCCCCGUGGGCACACGCCGUCCCCCAAAUGCAGUGGCGGUCCCGCCGCAGCUUCCAUCGCGUAGUAGCUAACACCUCGCGACUGGAGAGCGGCGCGGCCACGCCGUAAAACACCCAACUCUUCUGAAGUUGACCUCGAAUCAGGUAGGAAUACCCGCUGAACUUAAGCAUAUCAAUAAGCGGAGGA
rnacentral:misc_RNA from 1 species